rnacentral:rRNA from 1 species
UACGUAGGGGGCAAGCGUUGUCCGGAUUUAUUGGGCGUAAAGAGCUCGUAGGCGGUUUGUCGCGUCUGCCGUGAAAGUCCGGGGCUCAACUCCGGAUCUGCGGUGGGUACGGGCAGACUAGAGUGAUGUAGGGGAGACUGGAAUUCCUGGUGUAGCGGUGAAAUGCGCAGAUAUCAGGAGGAACACCGAUGGCGAAGGCAGGUCUCUGGGCAUUAACUGACGCUGAGGAGCGAAAGCAUUGGGAGCGAACAGG